AUUGAAGUUCUGGGACUGAAUGGUUAUCAGGUAUCCAGACAAAAGGCCCAACUAAUCCAAACCUGAGUUUUCUACCUAGGAUAUGAAAUAACAGGAGGACAGAGAGAACUUGGAACUGCCAGAAAAGAAGCCAUUUGCCAGACUCCACGAUCAUCUACCGUCAAGGAGCUCCGGACAUUCCUGGGAAUGAGAGGAUGGUGCAGACUUUGGAUCCAUGAUUAUGGUGUUCUGCAUCCUUUUUGCAGGAACAAUCAACAGAACCACUAACACAAGACUACUUGACUACCAUAGAGACUGUAUAUUCGAGCUGACCAGACUUGAAAGAAAACCCUUUGGAAGAUGCUGAUUCUUGGUUUACUGAUGGUAGUAGCUUCAUGAAAAAUGGUAAAUGAAAGGCAGGAUAUGCCAUUACCAUCACUUCACAGGUAAUAGAAGCUAAACCUUUACCUGCAAACACCUCUGCCCAGAAGGCAGAAACAAUAGCAUUAAUAAGAGCCCUAGAAUUGGCUAAAGAUAAAAGGAUAAAUAGUUGGACUGAUUCUAAAUAUGCAUUUAGUGUGGUACAUGAACAUGGUGCUAUCUGGAAAGAAUGAGGACUUUUGAACACACAAGGGAAACAGAUUAAACGUGCUAUAGAAAUUCUACGAUUACUGGAAGCUGUUCAGCUACCUGAAGAAGUAGCUAUUAUGUACUGUAAAGGACAUCAACAAGGAGAUCCUCUACAGGAGAAGUAGAGUGGACCGUACCAGAUAUUACUGACCACCUUUACAGCAGUGAAGAUAAAGGAACAACCUGCUUGGACAUAUUAUUAAAGAAUUAAGAAAGCACCAGAGCCAGAGAAGACAUGGCAGAUCGAACCUUCAGGACCCUUAUGUAUGAAAUUGCGUCUGUCAUAAUUUGGACUCAUAUGAUAACUGGCACACAAACUUGGGACCAGAACUUAUACCUGAAAUUAGUGCAGAAUGUUACUAAUGUUUUUAGUCGUAGUGAUUGUUGGGUGUGCGCACAGUUGCCUAAAUCAGGAGAAAGCCUGGAUCUCCCAUUCAUUGGAGUUCCAAUUCCUAACACUAUCUCAUGGACAAAUUUGUGGGUGAACACUAGCAAUCUGUAUUUGAAGGAAAGGUUAAAAUUUGGAAUAGUUAAUCCUAAUCCAGGUAAUAAAUAUUACACUUGUGCACAAAGAUGUAUUACAUCAGGAACCAGGGUAGGAAAUCUUGCUUAAAUGCCACAGAUGUAGGUCACCAUUCAAAUUGCAAUCAUACUAUUAAUAUAGAUGGUAUCAUAGUUCAGUUGUGGCCCGUUCCUAAAGGGAAAGGAUGGUAUUUGUUAUGUGGAGAAAAUGCUUAUAAGACU